UACGAAGGGGGCUAGCGUUGCUCGGAAUCACUGGGCGUAAAGGGUGCGUAGGCGGGUUUUUAAGUCAGGGGUGAAAUCCUGGAGCUCAACUCCAGAACUGCCUUUGAUACUGAAGAUCUUGAGUCCGGGAGAGGUGAGUGGAACUGCGAGUGUAGAGGUGAAAUUCGUAGAUAUUCGCAAGAACACCAGUGGCGAAGGCGGCUCACUGGCCCGUUACUGACGCUGAGGCACGAAAGCGUGGGGAGCAAACAGG
rnacentral:rRNA from 1 species